rnacentral:rRNA from 1 species
GACGAACGCUGGCGGCGUGCCUAAUACAUGCAAGUCGAACGCAGUGGGGACGGGUGAGUAACACGUGGGUCACCUCCCAUCAGAGGGGAUAACACUUGGUAACAGGUGCUAAACCGAUACUGAUGGAUGGACCCGCGGUGCAUUGGCUAGUUGGUGAGGUAACGGCUCACCAGGGCCACGAUGCAUAGCCGACCUGAGGGGGUGAUCGGCCACCCGGGGACUGCGAGACGGCCCAGACCCCUACGGGAGGCAGCAGGAGGGAAUUGUCGGCAAUGGAAGAAAGUCUGACCGAGCAACGCCGCGUGAGUGAAGAAGGUUUUCGGAUCGUAAAACUCUGUUGUUAGAGAAGCGGUAUCUAACCAGAAAGCCACGGCUAACUACGUGCCAGCGGCCGCGGUAAUU